GACGAACGCUGGCGGCGUGCCUAACACAUGCAAGUCGAACGGAAAUGCGGAAGUAGUUUACUAUUGACGUAUUUUAGUGGCGGACGGGUGAGUAACACGUGGGCAACCUGCCUUAAAGAGGGGGAUGACACCGAGAAAUCGGUGCUAAUACCGCAUAACAUUAGAAAGUCGCAUGACUUUGUAAUCAAAGGAGAAAUCCGCUUUAAGAUGGGCCCGCGCCUGAUUAGCUAGUUGGUGGGGUAGAAGCCUACCAAGGCGACGAUCAGUAGCCGAUCUGAGAGGAUGAACGGCCACACUGGAACUGAGACACGGUCCAGACUCCUACGGGAGGCAGCAGUGGGGAAUAUUGCACAAUGGAGGAAACUCUGAUGCAGCAACGCCGCGUGGAGGACGAAGGUUUUCGGAUUGUAAACUCCUGUCUUUUGGGACGAUAAUGACGGUACC
rnacentral:rRNA from 1 species